GAUGAACGCUGGCGGCGUGCCUAAUACAUGCAAGUCGAGCGAAUGGAUUAAGAGCUUGCUCUUAUGAAGUUAGCGGCGGACGGGUGAGUAACACGUGGGUAACCUGCCCAUAAGACUGGGAUAACUCCGGGAAACCGGGGCUAAUACCGGAUAAUAUUUUGAACUGCAUGGUUAAAAAUUGAAAGGCGGCUUCGGCUGUCACUUAUGGAUGGACCCGCGUCGCAUUAGCUAGUUGGUGAGCUAACGGCUCACCAAGGCAACGAUGCGUAGCCGACCUGAGAGGGUGAUCGGCCACACUGGGACUGAGACACGGCCCAGGCUCCUACGGGAGGCAGCAGUAGGGAAUCUUCCGCAAUGGACGAAAGUCUGACGGAGCAACGCCGCGUGAGUGAUGAAGGCUUUCGGGUCGUAAAACUCUGUUGUUAGGGAAGAACAAGUGCUAGUUGAAUAAGCUGGCACCUUGACGGUACCUAACCAGAAAGCCACGGCUAACUACGUGCCAGCCGCCGCAGUAA
rnacentral:rRNA from 1 species